rnacentral:SRP_RNA from 1 species
GGUCGGGCCCCGCGCAAUGGGCACCUGUGAACCUCGUCAGGUCCGGAAGGAAGCAGCGAUAAGCAGGCCCGUCCAUGUGCCGCGGACACUCCCGAUCCCG